GAUGAGGAUGGGGAUCAUGUCAGUCAUGAUUCACGGAGAUUCUUCUAAACCGGUGAAGUAAGAAUCAGCAGCAAAGCAAGUAAACCCUAAUUUCCUUUUGUGAUCAUGCAUCUCAGAAAAUAGAACAAAUUAAAUUGCGACUCGAAGUUUCUCAGCUCAUUUCUACUUGAGUUCCAAACAGGGUGAUGGAUCCUCACAAAGAGAGAAUUAAGACUGGAUGCCACAAAAUCCUGGACGGAAUAAACUCAAUGUCUUUGGUGAAUUUAGAUGACCAGCAAGUCCAUUCCUUGGUAAUGAUGAGAGAAAUUGCACGCGGUGUUGUUGAUGAUCAAAAUAGGAAGGUGACUAGGAAUGAUGUGAUUCGUGCCUUGCGCCGCAGCAUCUUGAAAAUGGUGUGUGCAUCGAGGGAUAUCAUUCGAUUAUUGAGUAGGAUGUCUUACGAAGGCUUGGAUGACCAACAGAUGAAUUUAGUGUUGAGAAUGAAAGAAAUUGCUCAUCGGAUUAUUGAUAAACAGCCUAGAGUUGCAAUAACCAGGCCUAAUUUACUUGUAGAACAAGUUGCACUUUUGGAUGAAGGGAUGAGAGAUAGUCCUGUUGUUGAGUCGAGUAAGAUCGGGGAUGCUCUGAUUGAUGGGGAUCAAAGCAUGAGUAAUGAUGAUGAUAUGUUAGAUGUGGAACAUGUUUUAAGAUUUGAAAAUGGGAUGAAUGUUGCACAGGAGUCUCUAUCGCCAUCAUGCUUCCAGCAAUUUCUUCUGUGGCCUCCUGACGAUUGCAUCACUUUAGAAUGGGUUCAAGAUAUGAUGUCCACAUUUGAGCACGUUUCACAGAAGGUGUUGCCAUCUGCAUUUUGUAAUAUUGUGCCAACCAUUUUGGUGGAUAAGUUGACAGAUGCUGCUUCCAGUAUUUUAUGUGAGGAACCAAAUUGUGUGGAGGUUGACUGUGAAGGAGAAGAUUCAAGGGUCAUCGUAGUAGGCGAUAUACAUGGGCAGUUUCAUGAUUUAUUGUCUCUUUUCAAGCAUGCAGGAGUGCCCUCGGAGAGCCAAUUUUAUGUUUUCAAUGGGAAUUAUGUAGGUAAAGGAGCUUGGGGCAUUGAAGUACUUUUGGUCUUGCUAGCUUGGAAGGUGUUGAUGCCUCACAGAAUAUAUCUGCUCUGUGGAAAUCAUGAAUCAAGAUAUUACACUGGAAGGUAUGGUUUUGAGAACGAAGUAUGGACCAAAUAUGGUAAACAAGGAGAAUAUGUAUACAACAAAUUUUUGGAGUGCUUCAAGGUGCUUCCGUUAGCUUCAGUUAUAGCAAACUGUGUUUAUACUACUCAUGGAGGGUUUUUCCGUAGCAAACAUUCUGCUCCUUCACGAAAGCCAAAACAUAGGAAGACACAAAGGGUGGAUCUUGGUUCUUUGGCUGAGUUAUCUGAAGUUAAAAGAGCUCGUAUUGGUUCCCCUUAUGAAGGUCCUAAUAUAUUAUUGACUGACAUCCUCUGGUCAAAACCAUCUAAAAGGAAUGGUCUAAGGGAGAAUGCAGGUCGAAAGUAUGGUUUAUGGUGGGGUCCUGAUUGCACUGAGGCUUUCUUAAAACGACACAAUUUAAAGCUGAUCAUCAGAUCACAUGAAGGGCCUGAUGCAAGGGCUGGUCAGGAUGAUUUUGGGAACAUGAUGAUUGGAUAUAGCUUGGAUCACGAUGUAGAAUCAGGAAAGCUAUAUACACUUUUUAGUGCUCCAGACUACCCACAGUUUGGUCAAAAGAGAUAUAAUAAUGAAGGAGCAUAUGCAAUAUUGCAGUCUCCAGAUUUUGCAAGUCCUUCCUUUUUCUCAUUCAAAGCUGCAGAAAGACCAACGGUGGAUCCUUAUGUUGAUUCUGAUGCUGAUGAGAUGGACUUGCGUGCGCCAAGUUCUUCCCAAAUAACAAAAUGCCCAGAACAUGAUUUUCCUCUUUGCCAUCAUGCUAUAUUGGCUACUAAAUAUUGGAAACGCAGGCCUCAACCUCUGCCUUCUGUGCUUCUCAAAGACCAUAUCCAGGUGGCUCGAGACCCAUUUUUGAUUUUAGUUUGUUGGGCAUACACAAUGGACCAUCUUGGAGCGUUGAGCUUGGAGAUGGUUUAGGUGGCACUCAAGUUAUGCAGGUUCCGAGGGCCCCCGUGGUGGAAGGCUUGCCGCUUCCUCCCAAUAUACAGGAGCCGCACCGGUCUGCGUACAAGUAUUUGUUCGAGCUGGUUGGUGCAUUGAAACAUGUGGUUGUAACAAGGGAGACUGAGAACAGAGCCCGUGUGUCAGCAUUGAGAAGCAGAGCCAAGAAACGAAAGGGAAGGAAGAGUAAUAGUUGAUAGGUGAGUUUUAGAAAGCGCCCCUCCAGAAGAGGCGUCCCACGUGCGGUUUGCCUUUUGGUUUCGUGGUUGCAGUUGGACACGUGGUGAUGCGUGACAGGCCCGCGUAACAAGGAGAAAGAUGAAACCUGUAAUAGGGAAGUUUUCAUUUUUCGUUAGUUAUAUUUUCGGCUCUUCUGUUUUGUGGGUCAGGCAUUCAAUUUUGAGUUUAAUUUUGAUGCACUCACAGGGUCACAGUCGUGCAUUACAUCUGUUUUUUUUUUGGAUGAAGAUUUACACAAUCAAUAUAAAAGAUAAAUAUUUUUAUUGAUGUGGUGUUGGUCUGUCAAAAUUAAAGUCUUAAUUUUUUGCCAUGAAAGACGGGCUGUUCAGCUGGGGCUUGCGAUUUUUUUUUGGCUUAAACCUCUUGAGAGAUAUUAGCAAUGGGUCUAAUAUGAGAAAUAUUAAAUUUUUUUUAGCUGGCAUGUAAUUAGUUUCUUGAA